rnacentral:lncRNA from 1 species
CUUUGGUCGCGGAUCCCACUUACCUGGGACUAACCGGUGCACCACCCCUGACUGCUGAAAGUUCUGGUUCCCGGGUUUCGGCACCACUUGUCGUGACCCCUUGCCCGCAAGGAAGACGCAACUCAGGAAUCUUCUUUCAGCAGUUUAUUCAGGCCCUUGAUAUUUCUUCUUCUCUCCCUCGGAUGCCCCUCCCAGCCUUAAUAAAGCAUCUCAAGCCCCAGUGCGAAGCUGCCACGUGGAGCUUUCUCAUAGGGUGGUGAAAAACCAUGCACCAACUCUCCCAAAUAAGGAGUUGUUUGUCACAGACCACAGCGGAGCCAGCGCCAUCUUGUAAUGGCGACCAUAGUCUGCAGAAAUGGCAGAAGCGGCUCACCACAUAGGCUAAAUAUGAAAUUGGUGAAAUAAUCAGAUAUUUG